AUGGUACUCCCUCCGUCCAGAAAUAAUUACGCAGAAAUGGAUAUAAAGGAUGCAUCUAAAACUAAAAUAGAUCUAGAUACAUCUAUUCCUCUGACAAGUAUUUCCGGACGGAGGGAGUAGUUU
rfam:Triticum aestivum genome assembly, contig: Triticum_aestivum_CS42_TGACv1_scaffold_500233_6BL